GACGAACCGUGCGACCGUUAUUCGGAAUCACUGGGCUUAAAGCGCGUGUAGGCGGGCCGGCACGUCGGUCGCUGAAAUCCCCCGGCUUAACCGGGGAACGGGCGUCGAUACGACCGUCCUGGAGGGGCGUAGGGGGACCUGGAACUUCCGGUGGAGCGGUGAAAUGCGUUGAGAUCGGAAGGAACGCCCGUGGCGAAAGCGAGGUCCUGGACGCCUACUGACGCUGAGACGCGAAAGCCAGGGGAGCGAACGGG
rnacentral:rRNA from 1 species